rnacentral:rRNA from 1 species
UACAGAGGGGGCAAGCGUUGUUCGGAAUUACUGGGCGUAAAGGGCGCGUAGGCGGCCUGCUAAGUCGGACGUGAAAUCCCCAGGCUCAACCUGGGAACUGCGUCCGAUACUGGAUGGCUUGAAUCCGGGAGAGGGAUGCAGAAUUCCAGGUGUAGCGGUGGAAUGCGCAGAUAUCAGGAGGAACACCGGUGGCGAAGGCGGGUCUCUGGGCAGUGAACUGACGCUGAGGAGCGAAAGCGUGGGGAGCGAACAGG